rnacentral:lncRNA from 1 species
CCUUGAAGAGCUUGGCGUAAAGGUAAAUAAAAACAUGUUGUGACGUAAUGCGGAAGUGAUAUCGGUUGCUUGAAAAAUGGAUUUUUGUCAAAUUACAGUGAACAAGUUAUUGUGAGAUAGUCUGAUUACUUUGGAGCUGCAAGAUUGUGUAUGAAAUCCUGAAAAAAGUAUUUUAACAACUUUUUCAUGAACCACAGAAACUUCACCUUACCAAAUUGUAGGACCAGACAUUGUGAGAAAGUUUGAUUGCAUUCAAGAGCUGCCAGAGCUAAAGCUAGAAAAGAAACUAAACAACUUCUUCUCAUGAUCUGCUUAAUUGAUCUUCACAUUGAAUUGUAACCUGUAUGCUACAUUGUAUAAUGACGUUGAGCAAAUAAAGAUACUGCAGUCAGCGUUACAACCUUCAUUAAACAGAAUGAAUUGGUGUUACAGAAAUGGAUAACAUAUGGAGACAAACACUUUCAGGCUACAGAAACUACACAUUGUUUGAGACUGUGAGAAUGGCUUAUUUUCAUGAUGGAACUCAUACCACAAAGAAAGAACUUGCUUUAUUUUAUUUCUUAUAACUAGUCCUCAAAGACAUACCCAAGUAAACUACAACAGGAAAGAAAGCAAACAAAGUUGAUUCAGGAUUUAGAAUUGAAUGUUUUUGUGUCAACAGUGUGUGAAAACUGCGGAAAAUGGGAUUUUAAUUUCAAGGAUUUGAUUUAGUAUGUCAAGGAGUGAUUUGUUUUUAAUUCGUCACAGAAGUUAUUGACAAUGCUCUAAAAUAUAAAUAGGAUGUGUAAAUAUAGACUUUCAUACCUAACUAAAAUAAUGUUGAACUCAACAGAAUAAACAAACUACCAUCUGUUGUAUAAUAUAUUAGUUUAUUUAUCAAACUUUGUCAGUUUUGUUACAUUACUUAUCAUUGAUAGAAUCUAUUAUCUAAUAACCCUUUACAGUGUGUCAAGUACUCAUCAUUAUAAGCUAUUUUGAAAUAAUUACAGGACUGAUAUUUUA